AUUUGGCUCACAUCCAUGACUAUAAGAAUGGGACACAGCUCUGAAGUGGGACACAGCUCUGAGAAGGAAUUUCAACUGAAGUUACAUCGCUAUACACAAGCAAAGGCAUCAUGCGACAGACAAUCACCAAAGAUAAGAUCAUGUGCACAUCCGGAUCCGGAAAUGGCGAUUUGCCAAGUUAUCAAAUGAACCAUGACACCACAAACACAGAGAAUUUCGAUGAUGUUGGAGAGAGUCCGUAUGGUUCAGAUUUCAGCAUGAUACCAGAUUUUACUAAUAUUUUGGAAUUGGUUCCUGCCUAUUCCACAAAAAUGGAUGAUGCGACGGCUGACAGUAUUCUGCGGGACAUAUUGAACAAAACUGAAUAUUGUCACAACACAGCUAUACAGACCGGCAAUGCUGUUGAUGAGCGACCGUUUUUUCCCCAUUCGACAGGGGGCCGGGCUCAAACAUUCGAAUAUAAAGCAGGUGUGUAAUCAAACACU